GCGCAGCUGUGCAGCGCAGUAAAGGGAGGUCGGAUCCGGAAAUCCGUCCACUUUCCUUGGAGACUCAGCCAUGAGCAGAGAGGUCCCUCGCUUCGUUCCACAGCUGAAAACUAAGAAGCCCGCUUCGUGGUUAAUCUUCGAUGCGAAGAUGACUAUGGCAAAUUUGAUGUACUAUUGUUACACCUGAAGGAUGUCUGGUCACCGCAUCCAUGCAGAUGGCCAAAUAAUGGUUUUCACCGUGUGGACCUGAAGGCUGCUUCCCGAGGGUGUGUGGUGGUCACAGAGAUGCACCAGAUGUAAUCUUUUGUCUCUUGUGCUGAACAGGAGGUGAGCAGUUGGAUCAGAAAUGGAACAAAAACACACUUAGCGUUUGCUUCAUCUCUUCUGUGGUUAUGGAUCCAGUUGAGUGAGACUGUCCGGGGGGAAGCCUCAUUUGAAAAUGUGCAGCUGUGGCUCGGGAGUCAGACCGGGUUGCCCACUAAUCAGAGGAUCGACGGUUCAGUCGUCGGCUCCUCCAGGCUCCAUGUCAAACUGUCCUUAUGCACAACGCUGAACCCCGGCUUGCCCCCGAUGGCUGUUCCAUCAGUGUGUGAAUGUUAAUUUGUCUGCGCACAUAGGCUCAGCAGCGCUUUGAGUGGUCGGAAGACUAGAAAGGUGCUAUACAAAUACAGAGCAUUUAGUGUUGUGGGAGCUGAUCAUCAUUUAGAGCAAGUCUUGUUCACCAGAUUUCUUUUUACAUUUGAUGGCCUCCAUUAAUAAAAACCUGUCUGCAAGAAAAUACCA